rnacentral:rRNA from 1 species
AUUGAACGCUGGCGGCAUGCCUAACACAUGCAAGUCGAACGGCAGCACAGCAGUAGCAAUACUGUGGGUGGCGAGUGGCGGACGAGUGAGGAAUACGUCGGAAUCUGCCCAGUCGUGGGGGAUAACUAGCCGAAAGGUUAGCUAAUACCGCAUACGACCGAGAGGUGAAAAGCGGGGGACCGCAAGGCCUCGCGCGAUUGGAUGAGCCGACGUCGGAUUAGCUAGUUGCGGGUAAAGGCCCACCAAGGCGACGAUCCGUAGCUGGUCUGAGAGGAUGAUCAGCCACACUGGAACUGAGACACGGUCCAGACUCCUACGGGAGGCAGCAGUGGGGAAUAUUGGACAAUGGGCGCAAGCCUGAUCCAGCAAUGCCGCGUGUGUGAAGAAGGCCUUCGGGUUGUUAAAGGACACUUUAUUCAGGAACGAAAGACGUUGGAGUUAAUACUCUGACGUGCUGAC